CCCAAUUCCAAGAAUACUGCCUGCACAUCCAGCAAGCUCUCUUGGACAUGGACAUUUCCUUUGGCUCUAAAGUACCAAGUCCACAAAAUACCAUAUAAGUGCAUGAAAUGUUCAGGUUUUUUAUUUUUUUUUUCUUCAAAAAGAAAACUUUAAUCAUUGUAAAGCUCAGUCCAGACGUUAAUAUAUAUUUCCUUUAAGGCUAGUAAGGACAGGUGGCCGUUCUGUGCACAUUGCACAUCUGCAAAUAAGGCAGAUCUGGCAAGCAAUUUUAAGUUGUCUCUCAUUUCCCACCCAGAUAUCUCGCAGCUGUGGAUGAAGGCUAGUUGAAGAUAAGCAUGUUUUUAAAGCGGUACCUUUGAUAAAGAAAGACAAAGCUAAACACUUGCAUUAGAACCUCACCAGUGCAAUAAACUGAAUAGUACCAGGAUUAAUCCUCUGAACGAAUGUGGAAAAGUCAGAGGAAUUUGCCCAUACAUCUAAAACUGCUGAGCAGAGUUUUCUUUCCACGUUCUCACCCGUCACCUCUACCCUAGUCUGAAGCUUGAAGACAUCGGGUUCAACGCGACAUUAUUAUUUCAUGAUGUGUUGUCCUGCAUUGAGGCUGUUAGCAGACUAUGCAUGAAGCAAAGAACCCUUGUUUUCCAGAUGAGGAAUGGACAGCUCACAACUCUUAGGAUAACAACGCUCCCCAUUUCUGCAAUACUACUAACAAGAACACCAGCAUGCUUAAUACCUUGGGCAAAGUCUGCCUCAGAGACAUGCAGGUCCUCUUGAAUGCAUUAAAGAGUAUGGAUGUGGUUCUUUUUGCACAGCCAGCCCGCUCUACUUGCAUUUCAGCAGCAGGCAAUGUCUGUGGUGGGAAACACAGCAGCCUUUCCCAUUCUGUGCCACCAGGGUUACACAAAGGAAGGGAAGUGAGGAAUACGUCAUCCCACUGAAACUACAGAGAAAAUGCAGGAAGAAAGAAAAACAUCUGAGCUGGAACAGAGCCAUGUCUCAGAGGUUAACACCCUACUUUGGUGAAAAGUGCCGUAGACACAAUGAUUAACAAAAAUGGUCAAGGCCUCGUGUUUCAUUCAAAAGAAGGUAUUCAGAGAAAUCCCCUUCUUUCCAGGCACACAAAAGUUCUGGGUAAAAACGUGCCACAAAGAGGAUACCUUUUUUGGUUAGAAAGUCUUCACAAAAAUGUGGCAUGUGUCAGAAUCCAGUGAGGAAAUCAAUGAAUAAUUCUCAGCCUAUGGCUUAUUUGUGAAUCAUUUGUUUACAUACUUUCCUAUGGAUUACUCAUGUCGUGCGGUUGAUUGCUUGGGGCUUUGUUUUCACUGCAGAAGGGGUCUGUUCUCCACUUGGAGGUACCUGGAUCAGUUUUCCUCCCCCAGCUUCAUUUAUCCUUGGGUUUCAAGUUAGAAACUGCCGUGUCUUGCCUCUAUUAGGAUUUAUACUGGGAUAGCCAGCUGGAGAAAGAUAGCUAUUUUAAUGGAAAAAACCACUGGGCUUGUGUUUGUUUUUUGUUUGCUUUGCAGCGAACAUGUCAUUUUUGUCCAAGACAUUGUUUCAGCUCCCUAAUUGAAUGACGGAAAUUUUUAAAGCAGAACAAUGAAAUGCCAUUCUUCUGAAAAAAAAUAAUCUGGUUGUCAUCCAGCUAUUUGCAAAUAAUUCUGAUUGCAGAAGCCAGAGUAAGACAAACUCAUUAAAGUAUUUGUGAGUACAUUUGACAUUUUGUAUUUUUCAAUAGAUUCUACCUACUACCACACUUGGGCAUUGCUGUGUGCAGAGAAGGGAAGCCACUUCCCAGCCAGCAUCACCAGUUUCUCACCCAUUUGAUCCUACUCAGUAAAUAAAGCCAUGUGCUGUAGCAGUUCAGCUUUCCUCUAUCUUAUGCUACAUGAAGCUUUAACUAAUUCUGAUAGGAAACAAGAUAUCUAGGGGUUAGCAGGAGGCCCAGCUAAAAAUAUAUGUGAAUUAAAAGCUCACUUUCAAAAUGUUUUUCUAGUUAUUUAAGGUCUGCUUGUCAAGUGAGGUAGCAUUCAGCAGUGAGCUGGAUCUCAGAAUCUCAGCCUUAGUCAUUUCUGCUUAAUGCAAUAACCACUUGAAUGAAAUAGUUUAUUUCCUGGCAAAGGGCUUAACAGAGAAAUUAGGCUGUGCUCUGGCAUGGCACUUAAAUUGGCUUCCAGAAAGCUCAUGAUUAUCUUCUGAAGCCAGCUGAGCCAAGAGUCUGUUCUUUCUCAGUGUUUCUUGGUCUGUUCUCUCCUUUUCAUACCAGUUCUGCAGAGCAUUUCAAGCUGAUGAUUGGGUCUGCUUGGGAAACUGCCCUAAUUUGGUUCAGGACAUCACUUCUGUUCUUUUUGUAGCUUCAUUUUGUUGCCGCAGACGUCUUGUGCAGAUGUAGGAACCCUGAUCAUCACCUUCUGAGAAAAAGGACUCAAGUUCUUAACAGACUACUAAUAAUCACAGUUAUUAUUGAGUAUCUUUCCCAUCUACUGGUCCACUUGGUUACUCUUCCAAAAGAACCAAACUUCACCAUUUUGUUCUAGUAUAACUCACACUGAAUUCCAUGGGAAGAUCCAUAUUGACUUGAGCGUCUCUGGGUUAUGGUCCAUGUCUAGGAAGGUAUUUUCAUGUUAUGAUACUCCUCAUAGCUUAAGAAAUAAGUGCUUAGUUCGGGGAACAUAAUUCACAGUGCUGAGUUUGGUCCUUACAUUCCCUCUACAGUAGAUAGCAGAAGUUUAAAGUAGGCACUUACUUUAAAAAAUUUAAUUAACAUUUUCAGCUUCUACAAAGGGAAUCAUGUCUCACUGCUAGCAGUUAGGUAAUGUUAUCAUUAUUCCAGGACACAUUAGCAUCUUAGCAGAGAAGCCAAUAUUCAGCCAGUGUAUUAAGGAAAUUACCUUCUCUCCCUGAGAGCUUGUCCCUCCAGAUAAAGACUGGCGCAUGUGGGAUGGAGGAGAUGCUAAAACUUGCAUUGUUGCUGCCUGUGCAGUUCUUGUUUUUAAUCAUGCCCAGAAAGACACAUUAUUCUGUAAACAUGAGUUUAUGGGAAGAGCAACCUGACUAUGUAAAAGAGAAAACACCUUUCAUUAUCAACAUAAUAGACUGAGCACAGAGGACUGCAGGGUGAGUUUCUCCUGUCCUUGAGACACAUCCUCUAAAGGUGAAGAGGUAGGUCAACUCCCUACCCUUUAGUUUUCAGUCUAUUAGCUUGGAAAUGCAUGUAAGUGCCCCAAAACGCAAGGCAGUGUGAGCUUUGUGACAUGUUCCCAGCUAGGGAAACGGGACCGCAAGUGUGAAACAUUUCUUUAGCGUGCUUCUGGCCAGCCAUGAACUCAUUACAACUUGCAGUCUCGAAGUGAGUCACCAGGAGGUGAAAAACUUCAAAUCACAUUGACUAAUCCCUUGGGCUGAUCAGGCCCUUUCCUCUCUUGGGCACGAGUGAAAAAAAUUAGAUUUUCCAGAAUGCUUGGAACAACAUCUCCAUCUAAAUGUUUCUGCAUGUACAGGCAAAAUAUGCAAAACCCUUAGAGCACUGACAGAAAAGUCCGGAGGAAUGUGAGCUAUUUAAAAGGGACAGAGUGUUACAGAGAUUCCUUCUUGAAAUGGAUGAAGUCUACUUGAGAAAAAGACCCUUUCUAUGGUUUGUUCCAUCAUCCUAUAGAAGCCCAUGAUGGGAAUACAAAGCUGUUUAAAGCGUGAUCAAAAGCAAUCGAUCAAAAGUGAUUUGAAGUUCAUAAAAUGGCUUAUUCUCUAUUCCCUAACAAGAAGACAGUGAGUUGAGGGAAGCAAACAGCAGCAGCAGCAUGGUGCCAUAAGAGAGGUGCUUCAGCCCUGAUCGGAGCUGCUGACAGCUCCCAAGAAGUUUUUGUGCUGUUGGUCAGCACUGACUUCCAAAACCGG